rnacentral:rRNA from 1 species
CCCUUAGAUGUUCUGGGCCGCACGCGCGCUACACUGAUGUAUUCAACGAGUUUCUUCCUGGUCCGAGAGGAAUGGGUAACCUUUUGAAAGUGCAUCGUGAUAGGGAUAGACUAUUGCAAUUAUUGGUCUUCAACGAGGAAUUCCUAGUAGACGUAGUUCAUCAGACUGCAUCGAUUACGUCCCUGCCCUUUGUACACACCGCCCGUCGCUCCUACCGAUUGAAUGCUCAGGUGAGCCAUUCGGACUUUCAUCAUGCUGGUUUCCAGUUUUGAUGAAGGAAAGUCUUGCGAACCUUAUCAUUUAGAGGAAGGAGAAGUCGUAACA